rnacentral:lncRNA from 1 species
GAGAGCCGCCUCGCUGCAUUUCUCUCAUUUUCGACCUUCUGCAGCCUAUAGGACUGAAGUCCCCGCAGUCUCUCGCCAGACGUCAACUCACCCUUGUGGGAGUGGAAUUUUUAGUUUACACUACAACGCGGAUCUCGUGUAUAAAAGCCGGAUGGAAAAAAGGGGAGAAGCUACGCGGAAAGAACAGAGAAGAGGCGUGAAAGAAGCUCCGGCGAAUAAAGAGUGAAAAAAAAAAUAUCGCCACGGCGCUUUCUCUUCUAUGUGUAUAUACAGAUGAGAUUUUAGCUUUGAAGUUGUUGCCCUAUCUGUUUAAAAAAAUCGUCAAACAGACGGUAAAAUCAGCGACGCACAAAAAUUGGUACCCGGAGAAACAAGAAAUCGAAAAAUCGUUCAUAAUACACAUUAAUGACAGCCAAAGGUUUGCUACACUUUUAGAAGCUGAACAGAUGAGGGUGAAGCAGCUCCACAUUAAUCACAAAUUAAUUGUUCGUCCCUACGUUGUGAUUUGUGGAGAAGAUUUGAGCGCAAUCACGAGUUCGUACGUUGUAAUAGGUGCAUGUAUGUAUCGGCUUCCUUCUCCGACCCAUGCAGUCGAUGUAUGCUUGAAAUUUUGUAAAGUUUUUAAUUUGCCAUUUCCCCACAUUUGUAGCCAUAUAUGGCAGUUCAUUCUAAAAUACGUCUAUGAGUUAGAGGUACCGCAGAUUUGUAAAGGGUCUGUAGACUUAAUUGAAAACUUGAAAAAAAUUGAUUAGAACCAAAUGUAGUUUUUCGUUUAAAUUUCAGUAUUACUCUUUUUAAUAUUGUACGAAACUUUAUUUAUUAUGCUAUUUAUAUAGUUUAGUGUAAAAGAUGGCGAACUUUUUGCAUGCUGAUAUAGAUGGGAUCAGUAACCGGAAUAAAUUAGACAGAGAAAUUUUAAAUCUAACGUUAUCGUUGUAUAAUAAUCCCCUUCUAUCGAGAAAAGCUGUAGAUUUUGUUAUUGAGCAAUUUUGUAAUUAUACUGACAACAUACUUACACCGUUUGUACAACGUCAAGUAGAAAAAAAAGUCGAAGAUAAAGUAUUUUGCAGAAAAAUACAGUUCCUUUUAGAAGACAGUAGAGGUCUCUUUAAUAAUUAUUCUUCAGAGCACAAAAGAUUUCAGAUUUACGAAAAAAAAGUCAUUAUGUACCCCCAGAAAUAUUUGAAAUAGGGAAAAAUAAUGUUUUCGUAAAUAGAAAGGUUGAUGAGUUUGAUGAGGUUGAUGUUCAAGAAAAACUUAUUUAUACCGUUCAUAUUCCCUUGAAAAGCACAUUAGAACAUUUUUUUUCUAUACCUGGAAUGUUUUUAGAAACAAUGAAGUAUGUGAAAAAUUUAGAUGAAAACAAGGAUAGUUUAACUAAUAUUAUGCAAGGAGAACUAUGGAAAAGUAAAUACGCAGACCCGAACAAAAUUGUAUUUCCGCUAUUUCUAUAUUUUAACGAAUUUGAAUGCGGUAAUCCGCUAGCAAGCCAUGCUGGGGAAGAAAAAUUAUAGGGGACGUAUGUAUCAGUUACCUGCUUACCUCCUCAUCUCAUUACAAAAUCUGAAAAUAUUUUUCUUGUAUCAUUGGUGCAUGCAAAGCAUCUGAAAUCAUUAAGCAACGAAGUAAUAUUUGAAAAGACAAUAAAUGAUUUGAAUAAUUUAUCAA